rnacentral:misc_RNA from 1 species
UCGCGGCUUAUCACCGGCAGUCCCCUUAGAGUGCCCAACUGAAUGAUGGCAACUAAGGGCGAGGGUUGCGCUCGUUGCGGGACUUAACCCAACAUCUCACGACACGAGCUGACGACAGCCAUGCAGCACCUGUGUAUGCUCCUCUUGCGAGGUCGUCAGGCUUUCACCCUUCUACUACAUACAUGUCAAGGCCAGGUAAGGUUCUUCGCGUUGCAUCGAAUUGAGCCACAUACUCCACCGCUUGUGCAGGCCCCCGUCAAUUUCUUUGAGUUUUAAUCUUGCGACCGUACUUCCCAGGCGGCACGUUUAACGCGUUGGCUACGCCACAAAAGGGGUCGAUUCCUUUUACAGCAAACGUGCACCGUUUACGGCUAAGACUAC